rnacentral:rRNA from 1 species
CCCGCUGAACUUAAGCAUAUCAAUAAGCGGAGGAAAAGAAACCAACAGGGAUUGCCUUAGUAACGGCGAGUGAAGCGGCAAAAGCUCAAAUUUGAAAUCUGGCUUUCUGACCCGAAGCCCGAGUUGUAAUUUGUAGAGGAUGCUUUGGGUGUGGCUGCGGUCUAAGUCCCCUGGAACGGGGUAUCAUAGAGGGUGAGAAUCCCGUCUGGGACCGCCAGUCACGUCUAUGUAAAGCUCCUUCGACGAGUCGAGUUGUUUGGGAAUGCAGCUCUAAAUGGGUGGUAAAUUUCAUCUAAAGCUAAAUAUUGGCCAGAGACCGAUAGCGCACAAGUAGAGUGAUCGAAAGAUGAAAAGCACUUUGAAAAGAGAGUUAAAUAGCAUGUGAAAUUGUUGAAAGGGAAGCGCUUGCGACCAGACCCGGCCGCAAUUGUUCAGCCAGGCUUGUUGGCCCGGUGCACUCUUUUGCGGUCGAGCCAGCGUCGGUUCUGACGGUUGGUUAAAGGCUCUCGGAAUGUGUCGUCUCUCGGGACGUCUUAUAGCUGAGGGUGCAAUGCAGCCUGUUGGGACUGAGGAACGCGCUACGGCACGGACGCUGGCAUAAUGGUCGUAAGCGACCCGUCUUGAAACACGG